UAAAACGGGACAGAAAUUGAUUAAAAUCAAUACGCCAUCAAUUGUUUGGAAGCCUUCAUGCAGAAUUUAUAUUUAUAUCUGGGACUCGCUUCCUAUAGAUAAUUAUUAGUUUUAUUUUUUACAGAAAAAUCGAACUACUUGGAUCUGUUUAAUAAAGUCUUCCAGAAUAGAAGUUGUCCGUGAUUAUAUUGUUCAUGUUGUUUUUAUGAAUAAAAAUUGGUUGGGAAUGCAGUCAUUAUGAUUUGAACAUCAAAUUUUAAGAGUCACGUGAUCAUUAUGUUUGACUAUGGUGACUGAGGACUAUAUUUGGAUGGUGCUAGUCAUAUUAUGUUUUGUCGAUGUUUUAUCAGCUUCUGGAUGUAAAUGGAGUAAUGAAGGUUGCUUUUCAAACUCAGAAUGUUGCAGUAACAGUUGUUCAUUGAAACAUCCGGGAACCGAGCCUCGUUGUGAAAAAAGUUCCAUCCUUGGUCCAUGUUUAUACAACUACCACUGUGAGCGCAAUCAUAUUUGUGGACCUAAAAAUAAAUGCUGUUCAGAUUACUGGAAUGACUGUCGUGACGAAACUGAAUGUUGUGACCCAGCACACGUUUGUCUUUAUGCACGUGGAUUUGUGUACAAGAAAUGUCUGUUUGGUCCUGUCCAACUUAAAAGUAUGGCACCUGUAAAAAACUCAUUAUCCGUCAUAUGUCUAUUAAGUAUUUUAUUUUUAUACAUUUCUUUUUAAACGAUUUACAAAUCAAAUGUGUCUCAAUUUUGAAUAUUUGAAUAAAACUUUAAAGAGCACAA